rnacentral:rRNA from 1 species
UACAGAGGGUGCAAGCGUUAAUCGGAAUUACUGGGCGUAAAGCGCGCGUAGGUGGUUUGUUAAGUUGGAUGUGAAAUCCCCGGGCUCAACCUGGGAACUGCAUUCAAAACUGACAAGCUAGAGUAUGGUAGAGGGUGGUGGAAUUUCCUAUGUAGCGGUGAAAUGCGUAGAUAUCGGGAGGAACACCAGUGGCGAAGGCGACUACCUGGCCUGUUCUUGACGCUGAGGCGCGAAAGCUAGGGGAGCAAACAGG